rnacentral:rRNA from 1 species
AAUAUUGGACAAUGGGCGCAAGCCUGAUCCAGCCAUGCCGCGUGCGUGAUGAAGGCCCUCGGGUUGUAAAGCUCUUUCCCCGAUGAAGAUAAUGACGGUAGUCGGAGAAGAAGACCCGGCUAACUUCGUGCCAGCAGCCGCGGUAAUACGAAGGGGGCUAGCGUUGUUCGGAAUUACUGGGCGUAAAGCGCACGUAGGCGGAUUGGUAAGUUAGGGGUGAAAUCCCAGGGCUCAACCCUGGAACUGCCUUUAAUACUGCCAGUCUAGAGUUCGAGAGAGGUGAGUGGAAUUCCGAGUGUAGAGGUGAAAUUCGUAGAUAUUCGGAGGAACACCAGAGGCGAAGGCGGCUCACUGGCUCGAUACUGACGCUGAGGUGCGAAAGCGUGGGGAGCAAAC